GACAUAGGUCGCAAACGUUGUCCGGAAUUAUUGGGCGUAAAGGAUGCGUAGAUGGUUAAGAAAGUUAUCAGUGGUAAAUCAAGGCUCAACCUUGUGGAAGUUGAUAAUACUACUUGACUAGAGUGCAUAAGAGGUUAACGGAAUUCCAUGUGGAGCGGUGAAAUGCGCAGAUAUCAGGAAGAACACCCGUGGCGAAAGCGGCUCUCUGGGACGGUACUGACGCUGAGACGCGAAAGCGUGGGGAGCGAACAGG
rnacentral:rRNA from 1 species